AAGCCUCAUUGUUAGCUAAAACCAUCCCUACUGCACCAGCCAAGGCAGCUUGCUCGCCCUUGUCAACUCUCGCGUUGUCCCCUCGUAGGCACACCAAAACUUCCCCUUCGCCUUCCGUGGAUUCAAGGUGCCAGAUUUGCAGAGCAAGCUACAUUUUUCACAACAUUUCUUGAUGAAAAAAAACAGCAGCAAUAGGAUUCCAGUGAUUGAUUAUUAUCAGCAAUAAUGUACAUCAACUUACGCCUCAUCAGCUGAUGCGUUGCCAGCUUUGGCCGAUGCAGCAGAGAUGACGGGGUACGCCUUGUGUAGAGGCAACAAUGUAGCUGAGAGGCUCUCCCUCUUCAAGCACAGUUUGUUCCCGACAACGGCACUAUAUCACUUGUUGAAGUAUCUUGCUCCAAUGAUCUUCCUUCAGACAUCAAAAACAUCCCAACAACAUCAUAGUUAGAUCAUUUAAUUACUGUGACAACAGUCAUACCUGGAGAGAACAAAAAUUGGUACUGGUUCAGGAGCAACAACCACAUACAUGUAGAUAGAAACGUGACAAAAGGAAAUAUGUUUAGAGUGGUGAUCUUUAAGUCUAACUUUAUGCCUAAUACUCAAAAUCAGGAAUUUAAAAAGAUAAAGAAAACGUAUACUGAAGAAGUUUAUAAAACAAUUCCACAAGCUUCAUUCUUUCUAACAGAAACCAAACAGAUGUGCCUAAAGGGCAUAUAGCAGUUUAUGUAGGAGAAGUUCAGAGGAGAAGGUAUGUGGUGCCUUUAUCAUACCUCAACCACCCUUCAUUUCAAGCGUUGCUGCGACGAGCUGAGGACGAGUUCGGCUUCAAUCACCCCAUGGGAGGCCUCACGAUCCCUUGCAACGAGAACGCGUUCGUUGAAGUGACUUCAAAAAUGCAGCUGUGGCAUGCGUGAAGAGAGCAAGCAUUAAUUCAACAGUUUUUGAGGACUCAUUAUUUAUGUAUAUAGUGUUCCAACAAUAUAUAGCUGCAGUGUUUGUAAACAGAUCAUGUAGUGAGAAUUCAGCUUAGUCAUCCUUCAUUUCAAGGCUUGUUGCACCGAGCCGAGGAAGAAUUCGGCUUCAAUCACCCCACAGGAGGUCUAAUGAUUCCAUGCAGUGAGAAUGCCUUUCUUGAACUAACUUCUACGAUACAAAUUCAUCAUGCAAGAAACCAAUGAAGAAUAUUUUUAUUAAUUUUUUUACUAUUUUUUUUUUGUGCUUUUGUUUUUAUAGAAUAGCUUUAGGAGUGUAGAUUCAUGUAUUGGUGAUCCACUGACAUAUACGGACACACAAACACAGAGAAAAAAGAAAAAAUAUUAUUUUCAUUCAAAUAAAGUUUUUACAUUUU
rnacentral:lncRNA from 1 species